rnacentral:tRNA from 1 species
GGAGACGUGGCAGAGCUGGUUGAAUGCGCCGCAUUCGAAACGCGGUAUACCCGUUAAAAGGUAUCAGGGGUUCGAAUCCUCUCGUCUCCG